rnacentral:rRNA from 1 species
CUACGGGAGGCUGCAGUGAGGAAUAUUGCACAAUGGGGGGAACCCUGAUGCAGCAACGCCGCGUGGAGGAUGACGCAUUUCGGUGUGUAAACUCCUUUUAUAUGUCAAGAAAAUGACGGUAGCAUAUGAAUAAGCACCGGCUAACCCCGUGCCAGCAGCCGCGGUAAUACGGAGGGUGCAAGCGUUACUCGGAAUCACUGGGCGUAAAGCACGCGUAGGCGGGUUGGAAAGUCAGGUGUGAAAUCCUACAGCUUAACUGUAGAACUGCACUUGAAACUUCUAAUCUAGAGUAUGGGAGGGGGAGAUGGAAUUAGUGGUGUAGGGGUAACAUCCGUAGAUAUCACUAGGAAUACCUAAAGCGAAGGCGAUCUCCUGGAACAUUACUGACGCUAAGGCGUGAAAGCGUGGGGAGCAAACAGGAUUAGAUACCCCUGUAGUC